GAUGAACGCUAGCGGCAGGCCUAAUACAUGCAAGUCGGACGGGAUUCGGGAGCUUGCUUCCGAUGAGAGUGGCGCACGGGUGCGUAACACGUAUGUAACCUACCUUUAUCAGGGGGAUAGCCUCUCGAAAGAGAGAUUAAGCCCGCAUAAUAUGAAGACACAGCAUUGUGAUUUCAUCAAAUAUUUAUAGGAUAGAGAUGGGCAUGCGGAACAUUAGCUAGUUGGUAAGGUAAUGGCUUACCAAGGCUACGAUGUUUAGGGGAUCUGAGAGGAUGACCCCC
rnacentral:rRNA from 1 species